AUGGUCCCUUUAACUAUAGAAAUUGUCAUCCUGACAAUCAAGACUCACAUUCACGCAGCACUCUUCUGGGGUGGGCAGGAGGAGGGGGACUUAAAGACAAGGGCCAGACGCGCUUACACCCGGCUCGAGACGGCGGCGGCAGCGGCGGGGGACUCCGACUCCUGGGACGCGGACAGGUUCUCCGUGGAAGACCCGGUGCGGAAGGUGGGGGGCGGCGGCACCGCCGGCAGGGACCGCUGGGAAGGUGACGACGAGGACGUCAAGGAUAACUGGGAUGAUGAUGAUGACGAAAAAAAAGCAGCAGCAGAAGUAAAACCAGAAGUAAAAAUUUCAGAAAGGAAAAAAACAGCAGAGAAGAUAAAAGAGAAAGGACGGCAGCAGAAGAAAAGGCAAGAAGAAAUUAAAAGGAGGUUAGAAGAACCUGAAGAACCUAAAGUGCUAACACCAGACAGAUAAACCGCGGCUAAAGAAAUUACAGGAAGAGUCAGACCUCGAAUUAGCGAAAGAAACUUUUGGUGUUAAUAAUACAGUUUAUGGAAGAGAUGCUAUGAACCCAUCUUCAAGGGAUGCCUUCACAGAGUUUGGAAAGUUACUAAAAAAAUUACACAAUAUGAAAAAUCACUAUAUUAUACCAGUGUUUUGGAAGCCUUAGUUCGAGAUGUGUGUAUUUCACUGGAAAUUGAUGACUUGAAAAAGAUUACCGGUUCGUUGACUGUACUUUGCAGUGAAAAACCGAAGCAAGAAAAGCAAAGCAAAGCCAAAAGGAAGAAGAAAGGCGUGGUUCCCGGAGGGGGAUUAAAGGCUACCAUGAAAGAUCAUCUGGCAGAUCAUGGUGGUUAUGAUGGAGGGUAUGUUCAAGAUUUUGAAGACUUCACGUGACGUUUUAUCUUCUCCUGGUGUCUUCUUUCUGUUGCCCACAAUCCCUUCAACAUGCAGCACAACUUCCUUUCCUUUCAGUUCUGCCAAAUGCUACAAUCAGAAGUGCAGUAUCUUUUGUGCUGGUUAUUAACCCCUUGACACUUAGGUGCUAAUGUGCAGAUGAGGGAACUUGGAUCUUGCUGCCAAGGGGUUAAAAUUGGGAACCUCCAUUGCUACUAAAUCAUAGUUUAAAAAAACAGACCAAAUAAUGUUGUUGUUGUUGCUAUCUGAUUCCGUAGCAGCAGUCACUAAAUUGGAAACAAAGGUUGCAACACGACAAAAAAUUGUGUAGUAUUUACCAGCACCAUUCAGAAAUACAGCCUUAAGCAUACCUCCUUGAACUACUUCGUAACUUGUCAAGAAAAGCAGUCUGCUGCAAGGGCGUGUGGUGUGCACCUAGUAUUGAAGUUGCUUUGUCUUAAAAUUGAGCGUGAGGAUAUUAAAAAUACAUUGUGAAGAAGACUGCUUAUCUCAGAGUGAAGAUACGGCGGCUGAAAAGCACUAGUUUGAUACUUAAAAAUUAAAUGACCAAAACCCUCCAACUUGGAAGCUGAAGAAGGUAAACCUCUCCAUUAUUGCAUUACCAAGUUGUGGAAUCUCUUGAGUGCAUAGGCUGUCUAGUUUCUAUUUAUCAGACUAUUCUACUGAUGGAGUGCUUCAGAUGGGGGAGGGAAACUCCUUACCUAUUUUAUUUGUCUGAUUUAAGUGUCUGAGAAACAAAUCUCCUUUGUUCUCUGAGGCUGCAGUGGAUCAGCUUUAACAGGGUUUUGGCAUUUCCUUUAUAAAACUUUGUUUUGUUCAGCAAACUGCGCCAUUUAACUACAGUUUGGUAAAUUGUUAUGUUAACAAUUAUGACAUCUGCAAUGUUUUAUAAAGCAACUAAUUUAAUAAAGUCACUAUUGUGAGGAAAAAAAUAAAAUAAAAUAAAGACA